AUGGUGAAAGCUAUCGCCAGACUCCAGCGCCAUGUGAAAGAAAUUAAAGGGCUUCAGCCAAAGUCCUGUGAAGCCUGCAGUUUGGAGGAAAGGAGAGAAGCGGAGUUGACAAUAAUCAAGAUGGUUCAAGAAGCAACCUUCUCACAAGAUAUACAGUUACUCCAAAGUGACAAGGAGACGCCAGUCAAGGGCAAAGCCAAUAAGUUGCACCGGUUAAGUCCAUUCCUGGAUGACCAAGGUGUCCUCAGAGUUGGAGGCCGCUUAACUCAUGCUGCCCUACAUCCACAGGUGAAGCAUCCAGCGGUCCUUCCAAAGGACAGUCAUGUGUCAAAUUUACUUGUCAAGCACUAUCAUGAAAGAGUGUACCAUCAAGGACGAGGAAUGACCAUGAAUGCGCUCCGAUCUAAUGGCAUAUGGAUACUGGGCUGCAGCAAGGCUGUAUCAUCCCAUAUCUACAAGUGCACUAAGUGCAGGAAGUUCAGAAGAUGCACUGAACAGCAGAAAAUGUCAGACCUUCCAGAGGACAGAAUGGAAACAGCUCCUCCAUUCACCUACUGCGGUAUGGACUGUUUUGGACCAUUCUACGUAAAGGAAGGAAGGAAAGAGCUAAAGCGUUAUGGAUUGUUACUUACCUGCAUGUGUUCCAGAGCGGUUCACGUUGAGAUGCUUGACAAUAUGACCACGGAUGCCUUCAUUAACGCAUUGCGUUCAUUCAUCGCCAUUCGUGGAAAGGUACGUCAGAUAAGAAGUGAUCAAGGAACAAACUUCGUCGGAGCAAGACGAGAGUUUGCUGAAGCAUUGAAAGAAAUGGAUCAGGAAGAGCUCAAGCAGCUUGGAUGUGAGCUCAUCAUGAACACCCCAGCUUCAAGUCAUAUGGGUGGCGUCUGGGAAAGACAAAUUCGCACCAUAAGAAGUGUCUUGACGUCCAUUCUAGAACAGUCAGCUACGCAGCUUGACUGCUCCUCACUAAGAACGUUCCUGUAUGAAGUCAUGGCAAUAGUGAACAGUAGACCUCUGAGCACUGAUUGUCGAAAUGAUUCAUCCAGUCCAGAGCCCCUGACACCAAACCACAUUUUGACCAUGAAGUCCACGAUACUCGCUCCACCUCCUGGGAAGUUCGUCAAGGAAGAUCUAUACCUACGCAAGAGAUGGCGUCGAGUUCAAUUCUUAUCCAACCACUUUUGGACAAGAUGGAAGAAGGAGUACCUCCUGAGCCUCCAACAGAGACAGAAGUGGACCAAAGAUCGCAGGAAUGCAAAGGUCGGCGAUGUUGUACUCCUGCAAGAUGAUACUACACCACGUAACCAGUGGAGGAUGGCAAAGGUUAUCGAAGUGUACCCAGGAAAGGAUGGGAAGGUGCGAAGACUCAAGUUGCUCAUCAGCGACUCAACCCUUGAUGAGAAGGGAAAGCGUAUCUCCAAACCUGUCCACCUGGAAAGGCCCAUCCAUAAGACGGUGACGCUGAUGGAAGCAGACUGA
ensembl:lncRNA